GUGAGGAAUAUUGCGCAAUGGAGGCAACUCUGACGCAGCCAUGCCGCGUGCAGGAAGAAGGCGCUACGCGUUGUAAACUGCUUUUAACCGGGAAGAAACCCCAGGACGUGUCCUGGGUUGACGGUACCGGAGGAAUAAGCACCGGCUAACUUCGUGCCAGCAGCCGCGGUAAUACGAAGGGUGCAAGCGUUAUCCGGAUUCAUUGGGUUUAAAGGGUGCGUAGGCGGAGCGUUAAGUCAGUGGUGAAAUCCUGCAGCUUAACUGUAGACUUAGCAUUGAUACUGGCGCUCUUGAGUGCGCUUGAAGUGGGCGGAAUGUGCCGUGUAGCGGUGAAAUGCUUAGAUAUGGCACAGAACACCAAUUGCGAAGGCAGCUCACUAAGGCGAUACUGACGCUGAGGCACGAAAGCGUGGGGAUCGAACAGGAUUAGAAACCCGAGUAGUCC
rnacentral:rRNA from 1 species